rnacentral:rRNA from 1 species
AGUGGCGGACGGGUGAGUAACACGUAAGAAUUUGCCUUUAGGAGGGGGACAACAACUGGAAACGGUUGCUAAUACCCCAUAUGCUUUCGAGUGAAACGGAUUUUUCCGCCUAAAGAGAAGCUUGCGGCUGAUUAGCUUGUUGGUGAGGUAAUGGCUCACCAAGGCGACGAUCAGUAUCUGGUUUGAGAGGACGAUCAGACACACUGGAACUGAGACACGGUCCAGACUCCUACGGGAGGCAGCAGUGGGGAAUUUUCCGCAAUGGGCGAAAGCCUGACGGAGCAAUACCGCGUGAGGGAUGACGGCCUAUGGGUUGUAAACCUCUUUUUUCAGGGAGGAAUCAAAUGACGUGUACCUGAAGAAUAAGCAUCGGCUAACUCCGUGCCAGCAGCCGCGGUAAGACGGGGGAUGCAAGUGUUAUCCGGAAUCACUGGGCGUAAAGCGUCUGUAGGUGGUCAAAUAAGUCAACUGUUAAAUCUUGAGGCUCAACCUCAAAGUCGCAGUCGAAACUAUUAGACUAGAGUAUAGUAGGGGUAAAGGGAAUUUCCAGUGGAGCGGUGAAAUGCGUAGAGAUUGGAAAGAACACCGAUGGCGAAGGCACUUUACUGGGCUAUUACUAACACUCAGAGACGAAAGCUAGGGUAGCAAAUGGGAUUAGAUACCCCAGUAGUCCUAGCCGUAAACAAUGGAUACUAGAUGU